rnacentral:rRNA from 2 species
CAAUAAGCGGAGGAAAAGAAACUAACAAGGAUUCCCCUAGUAACUGCGAGUGAAGCGGGAAAAGCUCAAAUUUAAAAUCUGGCAGUCUCUGGCUGUCCGAGUUGUAAUCUAGAGAAGUGUUAUCCGCGCUGGACCGUGUACAAGUCUCCUGGAAUGGAGCGUCAUAGAGGGUGAGAAUCCCGUCUUUGACACGGACUGCCAGGGCUUUGUGAUGCGCUCUCAAAGAGUCGAGUUGUUUGGGAAUGCAGCUCAAAAUGGGUGGUAAAUUCCAUCUAAAGCUAAAUAUUGGCGAGAGACCGAUAGCGAACAAGUACCGUGAGGGAAAGAUGAAAAGAACUUUGGAAAGAGAGUUAAACAGUACGUGAAAUUGCUGAAAGGGAAACGCUUGAAGUCAGUCGCGUUGGCCAGGGAUCAACCUUGCUUUUGCUUGGUGCACUUUCUGGUUGACGGGUCAGCAUCAAUUUUGACCAUUGGAAAAAGGUCAAGGGAAUGUGGCAUCUUCGGAUGUGUUAUAGCCCUUAGCUGCAUACAAUGGUUGGGAUUGAGGAACUCAGCACGCCGCAAGGCCGGGUUUUAACCACGUACGUGCUUAGGAUGCUGGCAUAAUGGCUUUAAUCGACCCGUCUUGAAACACGGACCAAGGAGUCUAACAUGCCUGCGAGUGUUUGGGUGGAAAACCCGAGCGCGCAAUGAAAGUGAAAGUUGAGAUCCCUGUCGUGGGGAGCAUCGACGCCCGGACCAGACCUUUUGUGACGGUCCCGCGGUAGAGCAUGUAUGUUGGGACCCGAAAGAUGGUGAACUAUGCCUGAAUAGGGUGAAGCCAGAGGAAACUCUGGUGGAGGCUCGUAGCGAUUCUGACGUGCAAAUCGAUCGUCAAAUUUGGGUAUAGGGGCGAAAGACUAAUCGAACCAUCUAGUAGCUGGUCU